rnacentral:tRNA from 1 species
GGCGGGUCGGGCCGGUGCCCAGCGCUGACUGUAAAUCAGUAGCCCCUCUGAGUUCAAUUCUCAGGCUCGCCAC